GGGCCAUUAGCUCAAUGGCAGAGCAUCCCGCUUGCACCGGGAGGAUGGAGGUUCGAUCCCUCCAAGGUCCACCA
rnacentral:tRNA from 1 species